AAAGAGCUCGUAGGCGGUUUGUCGCGUCUGCUGUGAAAGCCCGGGGCUCAACCCCGGGUCUGCAGUGGGUACGGGCAGACUAGAGUGCAGUAGGGGAGACUGGAAUUCCUGGUGUAGCGGUGAAAUGCGCAGAUAUCAGGAGGAACACCGAUGGCGAAGGCAGGUCUCUGGGCUGUUACUGACGCUGAGGAGCGAAAGCAUGGGGAGCGAACAGGAUUAGAUACCCUGGUAGUCCAUGCCGUAAACGUUGGGCACUAGGUGUGGGGGACAUUCCACGUUUUCCGCGCCGUAGCUAACGCAUUAAGUGCCCCGCCUGGGGAGUACGGCCGCAAGGCUAAAACUCAAAGGAAUUGACGGGGGCCCGCACAAGCGGCGGAGCAUGCGGAUUAAUUCGAUGCAACGCGAAGAACCUUACCAAGGCUUGACAUUCACCGGACCGCCCCAGAGAUGGGGUUUCCCUUCGGGGCUGGUGGACAGGUGGUGCAUGGUUGUCGUCAGCUCGUGUCGUGAGAUGUUGGGUUAAGUCCCGCAACGAGCGCAACCCUCGUUCUAUGUUGCCAGCACGUGAUGGUGGGGACUCAUAGGAGACUGCCGGGGUCAACUCGGAGGAAGGUGGGGAUGACGUCAAAUCAUCAUGCCCCUUAUGUCUUGGGCUUCACGCAUGCUACAAUGGCCGGUACAAAGGGUUGCGAUACUGUGAGGUGGAGCUAAUCCCAAAAAGCCGGUCUUCAGUUCGGAUUGAGGUCUGCAACUCGACCUCAUGAAGUCGGAGUCGCUAGUAAAUCGCAGAUCAGCAACGCUGCGGUGAAUACGUUCCCGGGCCUUGUACACACCGCCCGUCAAGUCACGAAAGUUGGUAACACCCGAAGCCGGUGGCCUAACCCCUUGUGGGAGGGAGCCGUCGAAGUUGGGACUGGCGAUUGGGACUAAGUCGUAACAA
rnacentral:rRNA from 1 species